rnacentral:misc_RNA from 1 species
GAUGAAGAACGUAGCGAAAGGCGAUAAGUAGUGUGAAUUACAGAAUUCAGUGAAUCAUCGAAUCUUUGAACGCACAUUGCGCCCUUUGGUAUUCCUUAGGGCAUGCCUGUUCGAGCGUCAUUUAAACCUUCAAGCUCAGCUUGGUGUUGGGUGACUGUCCGCUUCACCGCGGACUCGCCUCAAAAUUAUUGGCGGCCGGUACAUUGGCUUCGAGCGCAGCAGAAACGCGAACUCGGGCCCGUCGUAUUGGCUCCCAGAAGCUAUCUUCACAAUUUUGACCUCGGAUCAGGUAGGGAUACCCGCUGAACUUAAGCAUAUCAAUAAGCGGAGGA